rnacentral:rRNA from 1 species
UUAACGGAGAGUUUGAUCCUGGCUCAGGACGAACGCUGGCGGCGUGCCUAAUACAUGCAAGUCGAGCGGAGUUUCAAGAAGCUUGCUUUUUGAAACUUAGCGGCGGACGGGUGAGUAACACGUGGGCAACCUGCCCCUUAGACUGGGAUAACUCCGGGAAACCGGAGCUAAUACCGGAUAAUCCCUUU